rnacentral:snoRNA from 1 species
UAGGCCCUGACUGAAGACCAGCAGUUACAUAUUAGCUGUUGGUUUCAAGCAGAGGCCCAAAGGACUGUCUUCCUGUGAUCUUAUGGCUCUUCUGGCAGAAGAUCUUAGGCAGAGAAUGGCCAUUUCAUUUGGAAGAAACAACC